ACCUGAGAACCGAAGGUCGAAGGGAGAAAUUCAAUCGCGUCUCGACGCAGGCACGAGACGGUCGAGCGACGGGAGACGGGCGUUCGCGUUCGUCUCGCGCGCCUUCCGUUCCGUCGAUCUUGCGACGAACGCGUGCACUUUUCUUCUGGUAGGACGUCGCGAUCCGUUGAGCGUCGGUCUACGGCCCGCGGCGGAGCCUCUUCGGGCGACGGCUUUCAAAACCGUCGUUCCCCGUGGAGACCCGCGGUGAUCCGACCGACUCGCUCGACGGUAAACGAAAGGCCCGGGGCCGCUUCUUCUAGAAGCGUUCGGCUCGCGGCAAGCGCGUCGGAACCGUCGGAUAUCGGACCCGGUGCCGAUACCGAUUUCCGACGACUGUUGGCCGUCGAAGUUCUCGAACAGACCCUAGCCGUUCCCGCACGUCGGAGAACGGUCCGGCCGAUCGGCGACGCUAUAGCUUUGGGUACUUUCAGGACCCGUCUUGAAACACGGACCAAGGAGUCUAGCAUGUGCGCGAGUCAUUGGGAUAUAUUUAAACCUAAAGGCGCAAUGAAAGUAAAGAUCCGCCUCGCGCGGAUCGAGGGAGGAUGUUCGGUUCGUCCUUAAAAACGACCGAAUCGCACUCCCGGGGCGUCUCGUUCUCAUCGCGAGAAGAGGCGCACCAAGAGCGUACACGCUGGGACCCGAAAGAUGGUGAACUAUGCCUGGUCAGGACGAACUCAGGNGAAACCCUGAUGGAGGUCCGUAGCGAUUCUGACGUGCAAAUCGAUCGUCGGANCUGGGUAUAGGGGCGAAAGACUAAUCGAACCAUC
rnacentral:rRNA from 1 species